rnacentral:misc_RNA from 1 species
ACAAACUUGGUCAUUUAGAGGAAGUAAAAGUCGUAACAAGGUUUCCGUAGGUGAACCUGCGGAAGGAUCAUUAAUAUAUCCAACCUUGCACGCGCACGGCCUGCGUAUUGAUCCCUUACCUCCCGAGGUUUGGAGGGGCGCGUGAAAUAUUUGGUCGUGCGUGUUCGCUUAUCACCCUUUGUGAAACCUCUGUAUUUGCUUCGGCAGCGCCGUACGGGUGACCGUUCGGGUAAGGCUGCCAGAGGCUCAUCGCAAAACCUGUUGAUGAAAUAUCAUGCUGUCUGAUACCAUACUGUUUUUGAGAAAUCAAAUCGCAUUAAAACUUUCAGCAACGGAUCUCUUGGUUCCCGCAUCGAUGAAGAACGCAGC